rnacentral:lncRNA from 1 species
AGUGGAGCAAACACAGACAGUCUCAGGGCUUGCUCUGUCCACAGAGUCCACCAGUUGUGCUCGGAAUUGGAUCUAGAGCUUCGAACGCUCUACUGCUGAGCUGUGCUGUCUGCCCACGCGCUCUCAUUUCAGGUAGCUGAGAUCAGGCCUGCCUUCUGCAUUUCUUAAACUGAUUCUGGGACUACCUGUGUCAGGCUCUCCUACAUGGAGGCUAGGUAUGCAAGAUGCAGGCAUUACCUCAUCUGAGGAGUGGUAGCCUCUGGACUCAGAAAUGGCAAGGAGAACAAGCCACACAGGCGAUUGCUAGUCACACCAGGAGUGGAGAGCCUGAUGAGCUGUACUUCCUCUUGUGGUACACAUAUUUACAGUCUGGUGUAAUUAUCAUUCUUACAGAGGCUAGGGGGGGUCAGAAGGACAUAUUUUGACACCUAUGGCAUAGGAUAAUAAACUUUCCAAGAACAAA